GAGGUGGGUGUCAGUUGUCUUCUUUGUUUCUGUUUCUUUUUGAGGCAAGGUCUCUCUGAACCUGGAGCUCACCUCUCAGAUCCACAUGCCUGCUUGACACUUGACUGAGUCAUCUCCCCAGCCCCAGGAGUUCCUGUGAAGUGUGCAGAAUGUUCAUUCAAGAGUAUGAGCUCCUAUUUUUACAAGUAUAGAAUGAAAAUACAGUACUAGAACCAAAAGGAGAAACCCUCUUCUACCUCCUGCCUGAAACCACUUGAGGAAAUCUUAACCAACGCUGUAGAGGAGUGAAGAGGGCGCUGUAAGCUUCACAACCUGGCCCUUAAACUCAAGGGAUGGGCAACUGUAUAUAAAAGAGAAAAACAGGAAAAUCACUGGAGCCACAAAAUACCAUUAGAAAUUUCAAUGGGAAGAGAAAGGGUGAGAAUUCAGAAAACCAAGUGACACAGACUUCUGUAGUGCCGGAGCAGCAAGAUGAGGCUCUUCAGGUGAUCUCCCUGUUGGUGGUAUGUGGAAGGCAAAAGUGGCAAGCAUCCAAGGAGACCACAUUGGAAAUACAGAAAAAUGAUUCACAGAGGAUACAAUCAAGCAAGUGAUGGCCACAUUUUGAGGACUUCACAUUUCAGUUGAAUCAGAUCUCAGAACAUUCUGCAGAGUAAAUUGAGCAUAAAGAGUCUCUGGGGGUAAAUAAUGGUGGAGGCUAGUCCCCCAUAGGAAGUGGAAUAAGCCAACCCCAGAAGGAUGAAUACAGCAAGAUUUACUGCAUAUGAAGUAUCAGAACAGCCAAAUCAAGAAACAAAGAGUGGAGACAGCUGGACUGGCAGUGGAAAGCAAGGAAGUGCUAUCCAUGGUGUGCGAGGUUCAGUUGGUGAGGUAGUCAGCACAUAGAACACAGCUGUCCUGGAACACAUUUCAGUCCAUGGCUGUGCAAGAAGGUCAGGCCUUGCACCAGAUGUAAAUUGACUAAUGUGUUCCUUAACUGGUGAGUCUGAUGGGCCCAGCCUCUGUAGAAUCACUGUAUAUAAGCCUAUAGCUGUGCAUACAGCACCUUCAUAUGGACACCAAGAACCAAAGAGGCAGAGUGACUGGCGUGAGGCUCAGAGUGGGUAUGGGGUACCAGUCUGCUUUCCAUGGUCCCUUAUUUUGGAACAAAAGAUAAGACAUGAAGAAAUUCUACUGUUGGUUACAGGAAGAACUAAAAAUUAUCCUUGCACCCAAGGACCUUAGAUAGAAGGAUAUUUGAGAAGCAGAAGCAGUUAUAGUUCCUCAAAUGACAUUUUCACAACUCCAGGAGCCAUGGUAUUCCUGAGGUAUAGACCAGGGACACUUGGUUAUCAAGCACCUUCAUAGCUCUUAUAUACUGAGCUGUUUCUUGUUUGAAAACUCUUUCAGGAACCUUGUGAGUCAAACUCAGAAACAAAGCUUCAUGACUAAAGUCAAACUGACAGAGCUCAUUAUGACAGCAGCCAGGAGACCUGGCUCUUGAAGACAGCACCGUAAUAAGCACCAAAGGGCUGUUCUAAGAACAGUUCUACACAGUGAAUACUGGAGUGGAGGCCUGUUCUGGGAUUUUCCUAUGGCUACUUUUUGGUACUGGAAAACCAGUUGGUGUGCUCUUCCAUGGAAAAGAAUAUUUCUGGGGAAUGCCAUUAUUUUCUUGUAUUCUUACUUUUGACUCUUGAGAUAACAUUCCAGGACCUGGGCACAAAGGAGGGCCUGAGAAGUCUGUACUCAGCCAAACUCGAGAUGUAGAAGAGAUGGUGGUGUGGUUUCACCGGAAGCCCAAAGUCCUGAGAACAGUGGGUCUCAUGGUGUGAGCUCCAGUCUGCAUCUGAGCCUCAUGUUCCAGCUUCAGACACUGUCCCAGAAAUCCUGUCUUAUCCCUCUAUCCUGAUCACUCUGCAUGAAGUCCCAUUGCAUGGAAGAGAGAAAUAUACACUGGUCAUGAGAAUAAAUACUAUUUACUGCCAAGCAAGAACUCUCUGGGACACAGAGCAUGGAUGAUUCCCCUGCCUUCUAUGUCAAAGGAAAGAAUUGCUGAUUCCUGUUGAGGGGGAGGUGACUUCUGUGGUUUGUUUAUAAUUGUUCAGCAUAGUUCCAUCCCAAACAGAAUGCUUUCUGGUGUUUUAAAACCUCAAAUUGCUUUUUACUUAUGAAGAGAAUUUACAGUGAGUUAUGCUAUAAUGUAAUCUAACCUGCUGAGGACAUUCCCAGACACAUCUUUGCUCCCUUGAGGGGAAGCUGUGAGGGUAGACUGGUAAUUGCUGUAACAGGAUCAGCAUGGGGGAGAUUGAUCACACCUAGGAAAGUGACCUCUUCUAGGAACUUUGCAAAAGGCACACCUUUCCUGUUGAUUGAUUACACAUCAGGGUGACCAGCCCUGGCUGAGAGGCUCAGUGUGUUACUCACCUUCUGCUGGCACAUGCACUUUUUUUUUUUGUUGUUGGUGUUCAUGCAAGAUUGAUGUGGAGCAGCUGUAGUUGGAAGGGCCCAGAAAUUCAUACCAUGAAAACACAGCUAGCUUUGAAAGGAAAAAGGAAAAGAGAUUUAUUAUCCACAAAUACAAUUACAAUAAGCUCCAUUUAAAAUGAUGAUUAAAUUUUUAUACAUCUAUAGAGAGUGGUCCUCUUGCUGAGAAAGGGAGCAAGAGUGCAUUCACGAAAGAAAGUCUGCUUCCUUCUACAUCCUGAGUACACAGCUCCAAAUCUGUGUCAAUGGCCAGUCUUGAAUCACCAAUUCUCAUUCCAGAUCACAGCUCCCAUUUUACUAUGGAAAGUCUGUUUACUAAGGCUGCCUCUAUCUUGUACUCCACAUUGUGUCUCCCUCUGUAACUAUCCGAAGAUCUGACCCUGAAGUCCUCAUGUCUAAUCCAUUUCCUCUUUUCCUUCUCUCUGUCAGCCCCUUUCCUGCUCCCAAACAAUUUGUUGCUCUUUUUCUCAGAUCCUUUGUUUUGCUAUCCAACACCUCAUCCAUGUGAAAACCUUCAACUUUAGAUCAGUCUGACACCACUUUCUUUCCCUCCUCUCUGCUUAGGAGCUGAGCAUUAAAACUAAAAAUCAAACAAACAUACACCAGAUUUCCAUUCUGGAAAUUAGCGUGAUUUGCCUGUCAUCAGGAGCAAUGAACUCCAUGCUUCCCAAGCUUCAGGGAGUGAUGCCAUCUAACUCCCCACCUAUGGAUUUCUCAUCACCUGUGCUGGAUAGUUUUAUGUCAACUUGACACAGCUAGAAUUAUUUGUAAGAAGGAAACCUCAAUUAAGAAAACACCUCCAUAAGAUCCAGCUGUUAGAUCAAGUUCAGGCUGCCAUGAUAAAGUACCAUACAUGGAGUGGCUUAAACAACAAAACCUUUGUUCAGUGUGUGAAGUUCAAGGUUAUGGCAGAAUGUGCUGGGGGAAGGCUUUCUCCAGGCUUGUAGAUAGCUACUAUGUACCCCUCCCCCACCCAUGGUCUUUUUUCUAAACACAUGCACUUUUCCUCCUCCUGGAACAUCAUCUCUAGGUAAAAGUGCUACCUUCAUGAUCUCACUUAAUCUAAUAACCUCCUAGUGAUGGCGCCACCAAAGACAGUGGCACAGGGAGACUGGAACUUCAACAUGUCCGAUAAGGGGCAGAGAGUCCAGUCCUCAGCAGAUCCUAAGUUGAACCAACCAGUUGAGAUUAAGUUCCAAAUUCAAUUAAAGCGAAUACUUUACAAAGCAAUAUUACUUCUGAAAUGAGAGAGAAUAAGUUACAUGUGAAGGUGGAGAUGCCCCAUGUGGUUGGUUCUUCAAGGAAGGCCCAGCUGCUGAGCGAUGCUUGAAGAUGGACUUAGUUUAGCAUCAGUGCUUUUUCUGCUGAAAGCCUCUUGCUUUAGGGAUACUCAAUUCCUAGGGUGGUCAAAGUUCAGAAGCACAAGAGAUGGCUAUUUGGAGAUGGCAUAUGAUGGCUCUAGAGGAUUCCCAGUGGGUUUAUGAUCUCAUCUCAGCAUCUGCUUUCUAAAGAAUUUAGCCUGCAACUGGUUUAAUCUAGUGUCACAUGACUCAUUGUCACAUAAUUAUAAAGGGUGAUCAAAAAUGAAAGAAUACAACCAGUUUUGCAUCCUCAAAAACACGAGUGCUGCAGCCUGACUCGUUGGAUUUAUCAUUGUUUCCAAGAAUGUCUACAUUUUUAGUGUAAAAACUCACAAUCAAAAUUUUGUAAAAUUUACAUGUGUACAUAGCCAUUUGUUUACAUGCUCUGAUUAAUAUUAACUUGUUUCUUACUCACUAGUGCAUAGUUGCAUGGUAUGUAGACAGUUUCCAUAUUCUUUUUAUUCUCCUCACUACUUUUUUAGCUUUGUCAAUGUUAACUUGACAGAUACAAAUCUGUGUAUAUUCAGUGUAUGCUACUUCAUGUUCUGCUUCAUGUAUAUGUGUGUAAGGAUGAUCAUGUAGAUUUAUAUCCCACCAUCUCAUGUCAUAACUUGUUUAUUUGUGAGUGAUGAGGAUAUUUAAGAUCAACUCCUCAGCCAAAUUCAAGCACACAACAUAUUUCUACUAACUCUACACAGCAAAUUGUCAUAGGUCUGCAUUAGUUAUCCAUCCUGCAACUGACAGCAUGGGUCCUUUGAUUACCACUUCUGUACUGUCCCCUAGUCCCAGAUCCUGUACCUUCUGUUGUCUUUACUUUGGCUUCUUCAGAUCUUUCACAUAAGUGAGAUCACACAGUGUAUACCUUUCUGCUCAAGUUUUCACUCAUCAUUAGCACCUUCUGGGUUCAUCCACAUUGUCACAAAUAACAACCUUUCUUUUUCUUUUCUAAGGCUAAAAGAUAUUCUAUUGCAUAUACACAUAUUUACUUGUGAUAGUUCUUUUAUCAGUUUACUCAUGGACUGACAUUUUAUCUUUCUCUACUUUUGUGAACAAUAUUACAAUGAGCAUGGUGGUGGAACUAUUUCUUUGAGGUAACAGUCUUAUUCCUUUGGACAGACAUACACAGGAUUGAGAUUGCAAGAUAAUGUGGUAUUUCUGUUUUCCAGUAUUUGAGGAAUUUCUCUAUUGAAAGCAUAUAUUGGCAUUCAUUGCACACAUCCUUAGUCUUUGGGGGCAGUUUAAUAUUGCCCUUUAUACUCUUCCCUAGGUUCUUUUGUCUUCUAUGAAAUUACCCAUUCUUUAAAGUCUGAGACAAAUUGUUUUGCAGAAUGGAAUUCAAUUCAGAUUUGUUUCUGGUUAUUUCUUCAUAUUUAGUUAGUAUUAAUAGAUAGCACUGUGUCUCUUUGACAAUGUUAAUGACUAAUAGGUCUUUCCACAAUAAAGGUUCUUUUACAUGAA